GAUGAACGCUAGCUACAGGCUUAACACAUGCAAGUCGCGGGGCAGCAUGGGGGUUGCUUGCAAUCCCCGAUGGCGACCGGCGCACGGGUGAGUAACGCGUAUCCAACCUGCCCUUCACCACGGGAUAACCCGGCGAAAGUCGGACUAAUACCGUAUGUUGUCCAUUGACGGCAUCCGAUUUGGACGAAAGGCUUGGCGGUGAGGGAUGGGGAUGCGUCCGAUUAGCCAGACGGCGGGGUAACGGCCCACCGUGGCUACGAUCGGUAGGGGUUCUGAGAGGAGGGUCCCCCACACUGGAACUGAGACACGGUCCAGACUCCUACGGGAGGCAGCAGUGAGGAAUAUUGGUCAAUGGGCGUAAGCCUGAACCAGCCAAGUAGCGUGCAGGAUGACGGCCCUAUGGGUUGUAAACUGCUUUUAUGCGGGGAUAAAGUGGCCCACGUGUGGGCUUUUGCAGGUACCGCAUGAAUAAGGACCGGCUAAUUCCGUG
rnacentral:rRNA from 1 species